GUAAGAAGUGCCUUUUCCCCUUCAGCCAUGAUUAUGCUCCUUGACUUAUGAUGGCGCUACAUCUGGAUAAACCCAUCAUACGUCAAAAAAGAAGUCAAAACUGACAUAAAGCUCUCAACUUACAAUAUGAAGUUACGCUUUCCACUGAAUGCAGAUCACUUUCAUGCCAUCAAAGAGUUGAAAAAUCACAAGUGGAACCACUCAUCUCGUCGGUGUGAUCUCAUGAAAAGGGCUGAAGGCAUGAUUGCAAACACCGUGGCGUCGGGCUUCUGCCCACGAUGGGGAGAAUCUCAUCAGAUCAAAUCUCAGGGAAGUCAUCAAUCACGCCCGCUGACAACCAUUUUGCCUUCGUUUGUUACAGAUGUGAACAUGCUUAAUUAUUUGUAGUGUAAUUAGUUCAUGAAAUGUCAGGAAAUGUCAAACUGCGUUCACAGCACACAUUUUUUUUUUUUCUGCAAAGAGCAUCGAGAGCAAGUGUCAGUGGGAAAUGAAAGGGACUGAUGAGAAGGGCUGUGUCUGCAGGCAAAUGAAGGACUGGUUUGGGGAGACAAAUGAGGGUCAAAAUAUCAAGAUUAGGCAUUUUGGAGAAGUAGACUUUCAAAACAAAACAAAACAGAAAAUCCAGGUAUACGUCAGACAAGUGGGAUGUGACAAGCCAGACACUCUGCCAGGUUCCUACAAGGGGAGUGUGGGUUUGAGAUUCUGUUCAUCUUGAGUUUAAAAGCAGUGGAUUUUGGUGAAAAAGGAUGUCAGGUUAAAAAGGAAUAUCUGCACCCAGGGAGGCAGAUUCUUUCACAUAUUCCUUAUGCUAGAAAUAUUCUCCUUUUUCAACUAUUUAUUUUUAGGUGGAUAAAAUGCCAAGGUGUGGAAUCAGUCUUUGGAUGGAGGACGCUUUCUACCAUAAAGAGAGAAAUGGUUUCCUUCUGCAGCCUCGAGGAAAGAAGCGUUCUAUAAGCUUUGGUGUUUAUUUUCUUCUCAUCUAAUGCUAGAGGCCGGAAGGUGCUGUAAUCUACUGCAAACUCAGAGUGCUGCAAACAUGCCCUUCAGAUAAGCAGUGUUCAGCAGACUUGGCACUGCGACUCAACCUGUUUGCCGUAAUCCAGCAACUCCACGCUACUCCAUAAAAAAAAAAAUCCUUGCAAGAAGCUGAAGGACAGGAAGUGCACUGACAUCCUACAAGUGCCUUUUGAUUGACAAUCUGACAUUGAAUUCCUGGAUGGCCCUCCCCGUUCAGCAAAACACAGCAAUCUUGAGAUGGCAGAGAUGGUCACCAAAGCUGGCCAUGGUGUCAGGACUAAGUUGGUGAGUGAUGACAGAUCCUUACUCCUAGGUUGAUCCCUGGGCAGUUUUAAUGUCUGCACCCAGGGACACUCAGUUGGUUUAAACCUUCAUGAAAUCAGCAUUCUCAAAUGAAUGCGCAGUGUCUUUAAUGUGUCUCGGUUCCUCUACUCUCUUCCCCACUCCACAUCAUUUUCAUCGCUAAGAGUUCCCAGGAACUUACAUGCUUACCUGAGCUGUUAACCUCAAGAGUCUUAUUAGCAACAUGUUAUGAUCGCUACAUUCAACAUAGCUCUAUUUUUAGGUUCCUAUUAUAACCCACAGUGAAUCUUCCUCGGAUGCUCCCUUCUCUCUGGAAACGAGCCGAUGCAUAAAAUAUUCCUACUACAGAUUUUUAGGCCGGGCGCGGUGGCUCAUGCCUGUAAUCCCAGCACUUUGGGAGGCCGAGGCGGGCG
rnacentral:lncRNA from 1 species